AACGCACAUUGCGCCCCUUGGUAUUCCUUGGGGCAUGCCUGUUCGAGCGUCACUACAAACCCACUCAUAAACAUUAUGGUAAUGGUAGAAGUGAAGCGAGGCUACUAUGUAUGCCUUGGUCACUCUGCUGAAAUGAAUAGGCAGGACAAUCAACCUCUGCGAUAGACUUAUUAAUUGUUUUGAAAGCAAAAACCAGUCUCUUGCUCGGUUCUGGCCUGGCUCCCAUGGACCUCCAUGAAAGAUAAACAUUGGGUUGACCUCGGAUCAGGUAGGGAUACCCGCUGAACUUAA
rnacentral:misc_RNA from 1 species